UGGGAAUCUUGGACAAUGGGGGAAACCCUGAUCCAGCCAUGCCGCGUGAGUGAUGAAGGCCUUCGGGUUGUAAAACUCUUUCGACGGGGACGAUAAUGACGGUACCCGUAGAAGAAGCUCCGGCUAACUUCGUGCCAGCAGCCGCGGUAAUACGAAGGGGGCUAGCGUUGUUCGGAAUUACUGGGCGUAAAGCGCGCGCAGGCGGCUUUUCAAGUCAGUGGUGAAAGCCUGGAGCUCAACUCCAGAACUGCCAUUGAAACUGCUAAGCUUGAGUACGAGAGAGGUGAGUGGAAUUCCCAGUGUAGAGGUGAAAUUCGUAGAUAUUGGGAAGAACACCAGUGGCGAAGGCGGCUCACUGGCUCGUAACUGACGCUCAGGCGCGAUAGCGUGGGGAUCAAAC
rnacentral:rRNA from 1 species